AUAUUUUGACACCAGCCUCUGAUUUGACCCAUGCAACAUACAAUCCUGUCACUACCCUGACAAACGCAUCCCUACAAAAGCUUUUUUUCCUGUCAGGUUCUUUUCAAACCAAAAUAAAACAGUGCUUUGUUUCAGUUUAAUCACAAUUUAUGUUCUUGAUUUGCUUUGCAGAUUGCAGGGAUUAACUGAAUUCGCUGCUGUCAGUUUCCUUACGGGUCCCGAUGUUCAUUCGCGGCGUGAUUGCUGAUGGGGGAGUGUACGAGCCACCUCUGGCUGCAUGCUGAUGCCUGGAUCUCUGUGCCAAAGCUCCUCCUGUCCUCUCCUUCAAUGACUCAUUUUAGAGCUUAACGAAGAGGCUGAUACAAAACAUGAAGAUGGGCCCUUGAGCGUGCCAGCAUUGGAUUUACCCAAGGCAGUCCAGCGUCGGCUGCUGCCUCGUAAACAUCGGCUUGGUGUCGUGGUGACUCAAAGCCUGGCUAAUCCACCAUUGCCACAGAUGGAAUCUGAUUGGGGAUUUUCAUCUUGUUAUCUUUGCUUUCAUUGGCGUGAGUCUGCCUUACGAAGGCUUUGGGCAAUUCCUCCAGAGGAAUGGAAGGAGCCACCGUCAUUUAUUUCUUGGAAGGAGCUAUUGCAGUGCUCGCUGCAGAGUUGCCAUGGAGAUCUGCCUCCGUGUUUCACAAGCGGCUUUAUCGGGAGUAAAUGAUGACUGCUAUCUUCAUUAUUAUGUCCAACAACAAAACACCUCAGUUGCUCAAUCUGAGACAUUCUUGUCUUCCCCUGCGGAGUCGGCACAAUGGCAGUCAGACUGUUACAGCUCAGUCAGGGUGGGUCUAAGGUAAGAAGGUUGUGUGUCGUCACACCGACAAGAAUCUGAGAAUGGCUUGAUUUGAA